rnacentral:misc_RNA from 1 species
GUAGGAGUGAGCCUGCUCGCGAUGGCGCCAGACCAGUCACAUUGCCGUCGCCUGAUACGGCGCAAUCGCGAGCAGGCUCACUCCUAC